rnacentral:rRNA from 1 species
UACGUAGGGAGCAAGCGUUGUUCGGAUUUACUGGGCGUAAAGGGCGCGUAGGCGGCAUAUUAAGUCAUCUGUGAAAUCUCCGAGCUUAACUCGGAACUGUCAGCUGAUACUGAUGUGCUAGAGUGCGGAAGGGGCAAUCGGAAUUCUUGGUGUAGCGGUGAAAUGCGUAGAUAUCAAGAGGAACACCUGAGGUGAAGACGGGUUGCUGGGCCGACACUGACGCUGAUGCGCGAAAGCCAGGGGAGCGAACGGG